rnacentral:rRNA from 1 species
GUCUACGGCCAUACCAAGUUGAAAACACCAGUUCUCGUCCGAUCACUGAAGUUAAGCAACUUUGGGCUGCGUUAGUACUUGGAUGGGUGACCGCCUGGGAAUACGCAGUGUCGUAGGCU